rnacentral:lncRNA from 1 species
CGAAAUCGAUAGACGUCAAGCUCAGCUACAGGUGGCCAAACUUUGAUCUUAUUUUACUCAGAGCUUGUGUGACCAUAUAGCAACUUGGUUGAUAGAGGAUAUCCUCAGUGAUCAUCUUGUUUAUCUGACAAUGACAACAAAAAAUGCUCUCCUCUCAGGCAGGACAGCCCUUCUCAGGGCAGCCGAAGGUGGUCACGACAACACUGUGAAGAUCCUCCUCGACGCUGGAGCAGAUGUCAACGCUGCAGGUUAUAAAGAUAUGAUGAUGAAUAAGGUCGUAUUCGAAACGUCAUGGCUUUGACUCAAAAGUAAAGAAGAGUUUUUACAAGAUGUUUGUUUUAUCUCUGGUUUUCCUUUAUAUUUUGAGAAUUAGAUUCCCGAAGGGAACUUCUAUCGUAAAUAUAUUAUAAUUUGUUUAUUUAUUCAAUUUUCUUAAAUGAAAAGCAAGUUCCUUUAAGGAAUACGCAGGCUCAAUGGAUGAACUUAACUUGUUCUUCUCUGGAUGGGAAUUAACUUGGAUUUAAGGUUAUUUACCUUUGACAAAAUGUUGCCUCUACAAAUCUUCUUCUUGAGCACAUAUGGAUCUUCAUGCCAACUGUAUUUGUAGAAAAUCUAUUUUCCUUACUUUGUUAAGAAAAGACAAUUUCUUUCGUUUGUCAGCACCUCAGAAAAAUAUUACAUUUGGACAUUGCAUAUGUCCAUAGAUUACAAGAUAAUGUAUCAAAUCAAUUCCCUCUAUAGUGACAGGAAAGUUACCAAGUCUUCCACUCACGAGUGCCCAUAAAUAUCAACCCAUAAUCUCAGUACACAAAUUCAGUAUUGUUAUAGAUGUGCAGGGAUGGACUGCUGAUUAAUUGCAGUUUUUGAGACUGUAAGAUCGAUUUACUCUUCAGUCAAUACUCAGUUUCAGUUCUGGUACUUUCUAUUCCAAUUCAAUUAACAAUUAUGAACACAAACAUGGGUAAGUGGUCUUUGAUGACUUACUAUAGCAAAAGAGAUGGUGGAGUGGCAUAGACGUCAACUUCGAGUGUAGUGGCGAGGACAGGGUGAGUGACUAUGAGGUGGGUGAGUCUUUAGAUGCGCUGCGUUUCUCUGGUCUGGAUCCGACAUGACAGUGUUAUCUGCUAAAAUAUGACUGGUUCUACACACCCCGUCAUUCUCUGAAAUGUAUAAGGAGGACAACGUAGUCUUCCUGCAAAAGGUCUGCCAAGCUCUGUACUCUUGUAUGUAAUUUUAUGCAAGAAAUAUAACUGAAAAUUCUAUAAUGUUGGUGAUUUCUUGAAUUUCACUGAAUGUUAGGUUUAUAGAUUUUAUUUGAUUUCCUAAGAAUGAUUAAAAUUAAAAGAUGUAUUACUAAAUAAAAAGAACGAUAGCAACAUUUUAGCUGUUUAGAGUGAUAGUAAUCAUAUCCAGUUGCCACUAAGUAAACUGUAGUCGUCUUCGUGCUAUAGUGACCUGUAUGGGAUGUCUCCGUGUUCUCUAGGUGGCUCACAUUUAGGGAGACGCAGCAGGAAUUGUGCUGCCUUCAUUUUACCUGCUGGAUGAAAUAAAUUUCAGUACUUUAUGGUAAAAUAAAAUAUAUGUAUAACCCAGCAUGCACUGAUAAUUAAUAUAAAAUAUUAGUUUUAGCUUUUGUUUUUAAUUCUGGUAUUUUUUACACAUGAAUGAUAAUAUCAACAAUGACAACACUUAAUAUUUUAUCGUUGUGAAUUUAUCUAUUGCAUAAUGUAUAUUUGUAUUUAUCUCUAAACCAUUGCACUAUAUUUCAAAUAUUUAUUUGCUAAACAUUGGAUAACCUAGUUAGUUAUAUUUAAUUAUGUGACAAGUAAUUGA